rnacentral:rRNA from 1 species
UCUGUAAUUCAUGAUCAUAACGCGCCCGAUCUCGUCUGAUCUCGGAAGCUAAGCAGGGUCGGGCCUGGUUAGUACUUGGAUGGGAGAUCAUUUUCUGUAAUUCAUGAUCAUUUUAGGU